rnacentral:lncRNA from 1 species
ACUACUUAAGUUAGAACUGUGGUCAAUUUUAGGAUAUUAUUUUAACUGCUACAGCUAGGCAUCCUGAUGUAGUUUCAACUAGAAUAAUUGAAUUUAAAUACAACAAAUCAAAUAUCAAAUUAGAAUUCAACUACAAUAUAAUUACAACUAUACGUAACCAAAUAAUCUCCAUGGGUGCGAGCACCACAUUGUAUUUUGUCCCAUUUUUGUAUAUAAAUAUUCAUUAUGUGGAGUCCGGCUGCUAUACUUUUACGAGUAUUGGCUCCCUUAUACUCAUAAGUUUUCGACCCUUAGAUUUAUUCCAUUAAUCAUUUUCAUCCAUUAGAUCAUACUAUUUAACCAACUAUCCACUCAACCCUAUGGGACAACUAUCAUUUUAAGUGGAAACCACCAUCACCCUAACCACGCAUGCCAUCAAUCAACAGUUAAAAAUUUAUGAGUAUAAAAAAGUCUAUACUCAUAAGAGUAUAGUACCCCAGACCAUUAUGUGGGUCUAUUUCUGAAAUUAAUUA